GCGUGGGAAUCUGCCCUUGGGUUCGGAAUAACAGUUAGAAAUGACUGCUAAUACCGGAUGAUGACUUAGGUCCAAAGAUUUAUCGCCCAGGGAUGAGCCCGCGUAGGAUUAGCUUGUUGGUGGGGUAAAAGCUCACCAAGGCGACGAUCCUUAGCUGGUCUGAGAGGAUGAUCAGCCACACUGGGACUGAGACACGGCCCAGACUCCUACGGGAGGCAGCAGUGGGGAAUAUUGGACAAUGGGCGAAAGCCUGAUCCAGCAAUGCCGCGUGAGUGAUGAAGGCCUUAGGGUUGUAAAGCUCUUUUACCCGGGAUGAUAAUGACAGUACCGGGAGAAUAAGCCCCGGCUAACUCCGUGCCAGCAGCCGCGGUAAUACGGAGGGGGCUAGCGUUGUUCGGAAUUACUGGGCGUAAAGCGCACGUAGGCGGCUUUGUAAGUUAGAGGUGAAAGCCCAGGGCUCAACCCUGGAAUUGCCUUUAAGACUGCAUCGCUUGAACAUCGGAGAGGUAAGUGGAAUUCCGAGUGUAGAGGUGAAAUUCGUAGAUAUUCGGAAGAACACCAGUGGCGAAGGCGACUUACUGGACGAUUGUUGACGCUGAGGUGCGAAAGCGUGNGGAGCAAACAGGAUUAGAUACCCUGGUAGUNCACGCCGUAAACGAUGAUGACUAGCUGUCGGGGCGCUUGGCGU
rnacentral:rRNA from 1 species